rnacentral:sRNA from 1 species
GGGUUAUAUGCCUUUAUUGUCACAGAUUUUAUUUUCGGUUGGGUCAUUGCAUUACUAAUGUUCUUCCAAUGAAUAAAAAGACAAGCCCGAACUUUCGUUCGGGCUUUUUUUUGAGU